UACGAAGGGGGCUAGCGUUGUUCGGAAUUACUGGGCGUAAAGGGCGCGUAGGCGGCUUCGCUAGUCGGGCGUGAAAUGCCUGGGCUUAACCCGGGAAUUGCGUUCGAUACUUCGAGGCUAGAGUGUGGGAGAGGUUGGUGGAAUUCCCAGUGUAGAGGUGAAAUUCGUAGAUAUCCGGAAGAACACCAAAGGCGAAGGCAGCACCCUGGGAAGCCCCUGACGCUCAGAUGCGAAAGCCAGGGGAGCGAACGGG
rnacentral:rRNA from 1 species